UUUCCUGGUAGGCAACUGUAUAUUUAUUUUUUUUAACCAGCCGUGUUACAGGCACUGUUUGGAAAAAAGCAUUUAGGGUACGUAUUUAAUUAAAAGUUAAAAAAAAUCUCUCUGUGUAACAUCCUUCUGUGUAAAUAUCUCAUGUUACAACGUGGACACCUGCGGCUUAUAGACAAGUGCGGCCUAUAUAUGUACAAAUUUAUUUUUUUAAAGUUAGUGGGUGCGGCUUAUAUUCAGGUGAGCUCAGUAGUCCGAAAAUUACGGUAAUCUUUAGAAUUAAUAUAAUAGCACUCAAGAGUGAGCAGUUGGCUUAUUUUCACUUUGGUUAUUUGUUUUCCUACAUUACCCACAAGUUCUGGUAGUUGCGCUAAUGGGAGUUAUGGUGCGUUCGUGGUGCCUCGUAUGUGGUAAUCUGCAAGUUGUAAUAACAUCACUUCCUCCCCAAGGCAUGCACAAAGUGAGAAAACAGGAACAUUCAUGAACGCGUCUUGUCUUUGCUCUGUCAGAGCAUGUGAAGCUAAUAAAAAGCUAUCGCAGUACAGAACCAACAGCAGACAAUAGUGAGUAGCUUAGCAACUAGCUAAAAUCAACUCUAAUGUUGAUGAUGAUGAUGAUGAUGAUGAUCAUUUCAAAACAGCGAUUAGUAUGGUCAGUGUUAUAGAUUUAACCAAGUACUGUGUCUGUAUUUUAAUUGAUCUAAAGCCAAAAUACCAUGUUGACCCGACGUAGUGCCGUAAAACAGGAAGGAAAUGGUAGUUGAGAAGACGACCAAGUUGACGAGUUUAAACAGCACGUAGGUGGGAAGUUGCAUUCCUGCCUUCAGCACAGCAUUAACCCUUGCGUCAUCUCUACCAAAAAAGAAUCAUGCAGCAGCAUUUUUCAACUUUCAUGCUAAUACCGCAAUCAAUGCCAACAUGCUUGACAUCAUAUAGAUCAUAAUUCAGUGAGUCUACAUUGUAUUCUAUUCAGUGUUCGUUGUCUUUUCUACUUCUAGAUUGCAUUUUGCAUUAAUAUGACCUUUGCUGGAAAAUGGUGAGAAAAGAAGCUCUCAGUCUUGCUGUUAAGAGCAUCUGGUUUGAUAUGGUUGAUUUUUGCUUAUAUUAAAUUCUAUUAUAACUCUGCAAUCAAUGUCUCCUUGUGAUGUCGGUGUGGCACACACAGGAAUAACGAAAAUACAGAAAGCACCAACCAACAAAUUAGCACCAGAAAAACUAAACAGUAGGUAGAAUUACUUUUUUUUAUUAUUAUUUUUUUAAACAUUAAGUCUCGAUUCAACAAUUUGAUUAGAAUGAUUCCCACCCAUGUUCAUGAAGCUCCGCCCCAGGAUCUUCAGAGACACAUAGAGUAUGAAUCAUUAACAGAAUCAAACAUGAAUCAAAGGCUGAAUUUCUAUGUACAAAUGUAUAGUAAGUACCACAGCAAACACCAACAGCAAAAAAAAUAAAAGAACAUUCCACAUAUAUACACACAGCAAUAAAAGGUCAUUUCCUGAAUCAAAAUAGUCAAUUCUAAACACUGCAACUUAAUCCAAAUGCUUUAGCUCUCCUUAGGUAACUACAGUCUUACAGCAACAAACAGAAGAGCAGAAAAAUGCAGAAUCAAGCCAACCCUUCCUGCCACUCAAGAUUCGGGGAAAUUCAGUCUGAGUGAAUGAAUAUCUUGGCACUCAACCACAUCCUGGUUAGAAC
ensembl:lncRNA